AUUAUUGGAAAAAAAUUCUUAACCAGUAAAAGCAUGGCACUGUGGAUUAAGUACCAGGCUAACAUCAAGGAAAUCAGGUGAUGAUAGCCUACUGUAUGUCCCCAGGCAGGAGCCAACACAUUUGCUGGUACAGAUGAGCUGCGUUCCUCACGGAGCACGGGCACAUCAAUUCUGGAACAGUCAGCCCCAUCACCAUGCUGCUUUUCUAUUUGAACCUUUCAUGCCCUGCAAGACAAGAAUAGCUCUGGCUGCUGUGUCAUGAUUAUUCUAUAAGAGGCAAAGAUAGAGGCAAGAAAACAAGUGAAGAUUUUAUUACAGAAACCCAGAAAUCUGCUUCUUGUUCUGUCUACG
rnacentral:lncRNA from 1 species